GCCAGAGUGGUAUAGUGGUUUGAGUGUUAGACCAUGACUCCAGAGAUCAGGGUUCAAUUCCUUACUUGGCCA